CUCUCUCUCUCUCUCUCUCUCUCUCUCUCUCUCUCUCUCUCUCCUCUGCUCUUUUCUCUUCUUCCCUUCCCCCUCACCAUGGUGCUUAUGACUUGGCCGGGCUCCUCAUGUUUCCUCCUGCUCACGGGUGGGCUGGCUGAGGACACGUGGAACCCUGAGCUCUGGGACCAGGUUUCUUUACAACAGCUCUGCAUUCUAUCUGCCUGAACGCCAACCUCUACACAUACCAACAGCUUUGGUGAAACAGGUUGGCUCCUAGCAGCAGUACUCUAUUUCCUUCAAAGAAGACAGAAGACAAAUGGGCACAAAACAACGUCCAUCCACAGUUCACUUCAACUGCCAAGCGCUGACCACUGGGAAAAACCACCUUUCAUCUAAACUGAAGAUCUCCAGACAGUGGAUAGAAUCUCUGGAACCAACAGCCUAGAUGCUCAGGUCAAGGAUUCUAUACCCAGUAAGCUCUGAGACAAGAGGUUUUCUACUCUGGCUGAUGGGAACCUGAGUCAUUGCCCACCUAUGUGAGUAAGAAGUAUUAUUUCCUCUAACUCUCCAUCAGCUUUAGGUGGUUUUCCUCCUUCUAGAUCCUGUUCAAAUGCUGGCUGAAAAUUUAACUAGGGUUCUUCGUUCUUCUCAGCUGUCUGUGCAGCCAUGUCCUCUCUCAUAGUCCUGAGAACUCUGCCCUGGUGUCCUGUAAUUCCAGUUACACCUCCUCAACUCAAGGAGACCUCCUCUCUGUGUCUUGGAAGAAACAUUUCAGGCAGAAAGUAGGGACUAGCAGGGAGUUCAGAUAAUUUGUUUUUCUUUCCUCAAGGGUCCCUAUCCUGCUGUCAAAACCCAUCAUAUCUUGCCCAUUUAUUUUUAAGUUUUUCAAAGAGACCCUGGUAGGUCUUU